GACGAACGCUGGCGGCGUGGAUUAGGCAUGCAAGUCGAACGGUAUCAUCCUUUCGGGGGUGAGAGAGUGGCGAACUGGUGAGUAACACGUAGGUUAUCUACCCUCAAGACGGGGACAACCCAGGGAAACUUGGGCUAAUACCGGAUGUGAGCAACUUUUAGUUGUUUGAAAGGUGGCGUAAGCUGUCGCUUGGGGAUGAGCCUGCGUCCUAUUAGUUAGUUGGUGAGGUAACGGCUCACCUAGGCAAUGAUAGGUAGGCGGCCUUAACGGGUGGUCGCCCACAUUGGGAUUGAGAUACGGCCCAGACUCCUACGGGAGGCAGCAGUCGAGAAUAGUCUACAAUGGUCGGAAGACUGAUAGUGCGACGCCGCGUGAACGAUGAAUCCCUUCGGGGUGUAAAGUUCUUUUAUAUGUGAGCAGUGCUUCUUAUAUUAACAGUAUGGGGAGAGAGAUAUUAGCAUAUGAAUAAGCAACGGCUAACUCCGUGCCAGCAGCCGCGGUAAA
rnacentral:rRNA from 1 species